UACAGAGGGGGCAAGCGUUGUUCGGAAUUACUGGGCGUAAAGGGCGCGUAGGCGGCCCUCUAAGUCAGACGUGAAAUCCCUCGGCUCAACCGGGGAACUGCGUCUGAGACUGGAAGGCUUGAAUUCGGGAGAGGGAUGUGGAAUUCCAGGUGUAGCGGUGAAAUGCGUAGAUAUCUGGAGGAACACCGGUGGCGAAGGCGGCAUCCUGGACCGAUAUUGACGCUGAUGCGCGAAAGCGUGGGGAGCGAACAGG
rnacentral:rRNA from 1 species